rnacentral:rRNA from 1 species
GAUGAACGCUAGCUACAGGCUUAACACAUGCAAGUCGAGGGCAGCAUGAACUUAGCUUGCUAAGUUUGAUGGCGACCGGCGCACGGGUGAGUAACACGUAUCCAACCUUCCGUUUACUCAGGGAUAGCCUUUCGAAAGAAAGAUUAAUACCUGAUAGUAUGGUGAGAUUGCAUGAUAACACCAUUAAAGAUUUAUUGGUAAACCGAUGGGGAUGCGUUCCAUUAGGUAGUAGGCGGGUAACGGCCCACUAGCCUGCGAUGGAUAGGGGUUCUGAGAGGAAGGUCCCCCACAUUGGAACUGAGACACGGUCC